AUGCAUCUUUUGAAUGUCCUGGCUGUGCUGUGCUGGUGAAGAGUCUGCUUUUUAAGCUCUAAAAGGUCACUGCCAAGGUAUGCUGAUCUGCUGUCCGACUGCAAGUGUUCCUCCAACUGCACCUAUCUGAAGUAGAGCUGUACCAGUGACCUAGCCUGAUUGCCAUCGACUUGAAAGGCUCUGCGAGACUUCAGUCUGACCAAGAGCCUGUGCUAACACGGUUUCUCCCAGCGCUGGUUGACCCGCCUCAUUUAAGUGCCUCGAUUUGCUACUGGUCGAUGUCAGAAAGCGGUUUGCCGAGUUUAAACCAAUAACAACACUCUUUCCUCUGCCUUGAACAUGCCUCUACCCAGAGCCGUAGGAGCUGCUCAAAGUUGAUUGGUUCUCGACCAAAGGGGGCAGUUCCGCAGAUUUCGGGAAUUCAGAAAUCCUUCCCGAUUAGCAGUUGACCAGACCAGCGACAGCAACGCCGAAGGUGUUACGUCACUGGGAGGGCGUGCCAGGCUACCAGUGACCACAAGUUAAAGAUUUUUGCCCACCGACAUCAAGAAGUAGUCUGAGAUGCACCCAUGAUGGCUGAAUUAAGACGAGGUGGCCAGCAUUUUCAAUGUGUGUGAGCUGUGUGCGGAAUUCAAGGGAUCACUGGAUGGAUGCUCCAUCUGCAAACCUGAUGAAGGCAUUUAGUACCUAUGACUGAGGAUUCUGGCAUUGAUGUCUGCCACGAAUGUGCUCUCCUCUCAAGGGACUGUGCCUAUAUGAAUGAAGACCCUUAGAGCGUCGUGAAGGAAUACAUGCCAGGGGUUCGUAGUCACACGGUAGAGACCAUAUAUGGCAUCAGAUGGCAUAUCCCCCCCCCCGAGGACGUUUGGAUCAUAGGAGCUACGUAACGUACCAUUUGCUUUUGGACUGUGUUUACUUAUAUGAGCAGCUACAGUUUCUACUUUCUAAACAAUGUUUAAUUGUAUCUGUUAUGUGAAGACACACGAUAUGCACUUCAGUGAGCAUUUA